rnacentral:lncRNA from 1 species
CUGUAGUGUCUAGGAUAUCUGUGGAGUUAGUGACUGAUACUGUAGUGUCUAGGAUAUCUGUGGAGUUAGUGACUGAUACUGUAGUGUCUAGGAUAUCUGUGGAGUUAGUGACUGAUACUGUAGUGUCUAGGAUAUCUGUGGAGUUAGUGACUGAUACUGUAGUGUCUAGGAUAUCUGUGGAGUUAGUGACUGAUACUGUAGUGUCUAGGAUAUCUGUGGAGUUAGUGACUGAUACUGUAGUGUCUAGGAUAUCUGUGGAGUUAGUGACUGAUACUGUAGUGUCUAGGAUAUCUGUGGAGUUAGUGACUGAUACUGUAGUGUCUAGGAUGUAGUGUCUCGGAUAUCUGUGGAGUUAGUGACUGAUACUGUAGUGUCUAGGAUAUCUGUGGAGUUAGUGACUGAUACUGUAGUGUCUAGGAUAUCUGUGGAGUUAGUGACUGAUACUGUAGUGUCUAGGAUAUCUGUGGAGUUAGUGACUGAUACUGUAGUGUCUAGGAUAUCUGUGGAGUCUGAAGAAUCUGCCAUGCGGGUGUUCGUAUGACUUCAUCAAACCAGGCAAUAAAUUAAAUUGACCACAGCAGUAUUGUAAAUAACAAUUAGUUCUUAACUGACUUGCCAAGUUAAAUAAAAUAAAAAAUACAUAAAAAUAUUAAAAACACAACCCAGUUAGAAAAGUUUGAAAUAUGAUGUAACAUUUGAAUAUGAUGUAACAUCUAACAUGUGGAUAUGUGAUCAACUCUAUAUAUCAGGAGCUUGUGUAUGGAG